AUUAGAUUCACUAUGGUAGUUGUAAAUGUCAAUAAAAAUAUUCAAUCUCUGAUAUGUGGUGAUUUAAAACUAGGUGCUUGGGAGCAGCACAGAGCAGACAUCAGUUCUGUGCAGAAAAACACAUGCACACCAACUCUCAAGAGAAGCUACUCCACCAAAAACUAAACUUUGCAAACAGCAGAUGGAAAGGUUGGCAGCAUCGGAUCUGCUGGUGAAAGAUCUGUACAAGGAGAACGCACAUCUCACCGCCCAUGUACAGAAGCUGGAGGAGCAGAACCUGUUUGUAGACCAGUCAAUACUUGCCAGCACCGUAUAGCAUUGGCCGGGAACCUUCCUGUUGACUGUUAGCAAAUGUUAGGUCUAGUCACCAUUAGCCUCGGCUAUCCAUGUCUCUGUAAGUUUACAAUACACUGCAAUCUUUACGAAUUAGGACUAAUAGUAAUGGUACAGUAAGUCCAGUAAUAUUCCUAGACUGGACCAAAUACUACAGUACUCCAGUCCUUUACAUCGCAAUAAUAUAGUAUUGAUUCAUGUAACUUAAGACAUACAAUUGUUUAAUAAUGUAGUAGUUUGGUGAAAGUUACAGUUGUGUGUUUAUCUCUAACUAUCGAAGCAGUAAUGUUGUCUGGAAAGUUGUUUCAAUAAAACUUUCAAUCUAUUUAUUUUUUCAUGCAUAAAUAAGGAAAUCUGUUCUUAGAAGGUGGUUUACUUGAACACUGUAAACCAAUUGUAUUUUCAAUGUUUUUAUUAUAUUUGUUUUUCGUUAAAUGAUUGUACUCAAAUAAGUAAGCCUUUUUAAUGUUUAAGCACAUGCUAUAAUAAAGUUUACUAUAAUCGUCAGUCUGAUAUCAAAAUAUUACACUAUAAUUAUAUUCUGUUUUAUAUAUAUAUAUACAUAAUUUUACUCAUAUAUCAAUUAAUUACUCUAAUUACAAUUGGUAACAUCAAGAAUUGUUUGUGUAAUUUUGUAAUAAUUUGUGUAAUGUUAUUUUGUAAAGUAGUAUACUUUGUAAUAAUAUGGAAUAUCCUGAAAAUAUCAUGUUAUUGUUUAAAAAAUACACUUAAGUAUAAUAACACUGUUAUGGCCUCCAGCUAUAAAUAUUGUUGCAAAAGAGAUGGAUAGUUGUAAUAUUACUGUAAGCUUUAAUCCACUGGUGUAUAUAUAUAUUAUAAGAAAAAACUGUCCUUAGGAGAUUGUCAUUUUGAACAUGACAUGUUAACUAAUUCCAUUUUUACUAUUCUUAUAUAACACUGAUGACAGUCUUUUACACAACUUUCUAAAUGUGUGUAUUAUUCAAGUAUUUAAUAAGUUUAUUCUUAUUCUUCAAUAUAUUUUUAUUGUUACUUUUUCAAAUUACUUUUAACUUGGAUUUACAAGAUUAUAUUCUGACAUUGAUAAGGUAUAUGCCAUGUGUUAUUUACAUAUACUUUCAAUGAAAAUUGAAACAUAUUUUUCUGAUGCAUGUAACAGUUUAGUGAUUUAAGUUGUUUCAUGUUUUAUUAAAAGCAAGGUAUUGUUAGUUUUGUGAUAUAAAAGUCUUCUGUUUUCAAAUCAGAUUGAUUGAACAGAAAAGACGUACUGAGCAAAUUUUCAAUAAAAUGUGUUAUAUAUUCCUACAUAAUAAGUUAUAAUGUUUAUCUUAGAAUAUUUAAAAAUUGCGCCUUACACCCCACUAAAGAUGAAUACAUAUAACCACAUUUACAUUUUAAUGUGUGCAAACAGUAUAACAAAAUAAUAUUGUUUUUUUUUUUUUACUGGACAUUGUUUUUAUAUUCUUAUAAAUUAUUGUAUUUAUAGUGGAUUAAGCAACUUUAUUUCUUUUCCUGUUGCAUUUGUUAAGUAUGUUUUUAAUAAGUUGUUUUAUAGAAUUCAUAUAGAUUAAAUGUUACUAUCCAUGUAUAUCCUAAUAAUUUAAGACUACAAAAAAUAGAUAAAGUUAUAUUGUAUGAAUUAGGGUGUAUGAUAAAAAUCUAAUAUUUGUUUUAUUUAUUAUUUUAAAAUAUGAAUUUAGAAUUAAAUGAUGUUGCCAAAUGUUGUGAAAAAUAUAGACAUUAUAGUAGGGAAAUUGCUUUUGUCCAAGUUA